CUGGGGGUACCUGGACACACCUGGGACACACCUGAGGUCACCUGGGAGGGGUUUGGGGUCACCUGGACUCACCUGAGCAGCAGCACCUGGCUCAGGUGUGUUUUUGGGGCGGAUUUUUGGGUUUUUUGGGGUUUUUUGGGGUUACCUGGACUCACCUGAGCAGCAGCACCUGGCCCAGGUGUGUUUUUGGGGUGGAUUUUUGGAUUUUUUGGGGUUACCUGGACUCACCUGAGCAGCAGCACCUGGCUCAGGUGUGUUUUUGGGGCGGAUUUUUGGGUUUUUUGGGGUUUUUUGGGGUUACCUGGACUCACCUGAGCAGCAGCACCUGGCUCAGGUGUGUUUUUGGGGCGGAUUUUUGGGUUUUUUGGGGUUUUUUGGGGUUACCUGGACUCACCUGAGCAGCAGCACCUGGCUCAGGUGUGUUUUUGGGGCGGAUUUUUGGGUUUUUUGGGGUUUUUUGGGGUUACCUGGACUCACCUGAGCAGCAGCACCUGGCUCAGGUGUGUUUUUGGGGCGGAUUUUUGGGUUUUUUGGGGUUUUUUGGGGUUACCUGGACUCACCUGAGCAGCAGCACCUGGCUCAGGUGUGUUUUUGGGGCGGAUUUUUGGGUUUUUUGGGGUUUUUUGGGGUUACCUGGACUCACCUGAGCAGCAGCACCUGGCUCAGGUGUGUUUUUGGGGCGGAUUUUUGGGUUUUUUGGGGUUUUUUGGGGUUACCUGGACUCACCUGAGCAGCAGCACCUGGCUCAGGUGUGUUUUUGGGGCGGAUUUUUGGGUUUUUUGGGGUUUUUUGGGGUUACCUGGACUCACCUGAGCAGCAGCACCUGGCUCAGGUGUGUUUUUGGGGCGGAUUUUUGGGUUUUUUGGGGUUUUUUGGGGUUACCUGGACUCACCUGAGCAGCAGCACCUGGCCCAGGUGUGUUUUUGGGGUGGAUUUUUGGGUUUUUUGGGAUUUUUGGGUUUUUUGGGGUCACCUGGACUCACCUGAGCAGCAGGGGGGGGGGGGGGGGGGGGGGGGGGGGGGGGGGGGGGGGGGGGGGGGGGGGGGGGGGGGGGGGGGGG
rnacentral:lncRNA from 12 species